rnacentral:rRNA from 1 species
UCAGUUAUCGUUUAUUUGAUAGUACCUUACUACAUGGAUACCUGUGGUAAUUCUAGAGCUAAUACAUGCUAAAAACCUCGACUUCGGAAGGGGUGUAUUUAUUAGAUAAAAAACCAACGCCCUUCGGGGCUCCUUGGUGAAUCAUAAUAACUAAGCGAAUCGCAUGGCCUUGCGCCGGCGAUGGUUCAUUCAAAUUUCUGCCCUAUCAACUUUCGAUGGUAAGAUAGUGGCUUACCAUGGUGGCAACGGGUAACGGGGAAUUAGGGUUCGAUUCCGGAGAGGGAGCCUGAGAAACGGCUACCACAUCCAAGGAAGGCAGCAGGCGCGCAAAUUACCCAAUCCCGACACGGGGAGGUAGUGACAAUAAAUACUGAUACGGGGCUCUUUUGGGUCUCGUAAUUGGAAUGAGUACAAUCUAAAUCCCUUAACGAGGAACAAUUGGAGGGCAAGUCUGGUGCCAGCAGCCGCGGUAAUUCCAGCUCCAAUAGCGUAUAUUAAAGUUGUUGCAGUUAAAAAGCUCGUAGUUGAACCUUGGGUCUGGCUGACCGGUCCGCCUCACCGCGAGUACUGGUUCGGCUGGACCUUUCCUUCUGGGGAACCUCAUGGCCUUCACUGGCUGUGGGGGGAACCAGGACUUUUACUGUGAAAAAAUUAGAGUGUUCAAAGCAGGCCUUUGCUCGAAUACAUUAGCAUGGAAUAAUAGAAUAGGACGUGCGGUUCUAUUUUGUUGGUUUCUAGGACCGCCGUAAUGAUUAAUAGGGAUAGUCGGGGGCGUCAGUAUUCAGCUGUCAGAGGUGAAAUUCUUGGAUUUGCUGAAGACUAACUACUGCGAAAGCAUUCGCCAAGGAUGUUUUCAUUAAUCAGGGAACGAAAGUUAGGGGAUCGAAGACGAUCAGAUACCGUCGUAGUCUUAACCAUAAACUAUGCCGACUAGGGAUCGGGCGGUGUUUCUAUA